AGCGAGUUCGGGCGGCGUCGACGAAGCUUCUCGGUGCCUGUUGAACUAUUCGAUUUGUCCCUGUUGCCUUCGUAUGUGUUUUCAUGCCUAGCGGUGCGGCUCGGCUCCUACCUGGCGUAUUUGCACUCAAGACGCRUCCCUUUAUUGGGCUAGUUGAGACGUGUUUUUCGUUGGGCGGUGCUGGGUUUAGCUAACGCGACGGUGUAUGAGGGGUAAUUGGGUUGUAUUCGACGGCAGGCUCCGUGCUUCGGCAUCGAACUGUCGGUUCGUACCCCGCUUCAUUGAUGCAUCAAGAUUCGUCUUGCGCGCGCGACGGGUUUCUGUUUUGGCUACCUGCUGCGAAGGAAUGUUGCCUCUCGUCGUCCCUUUCUUCCUCUUGCUGGCCUUACUGGCAGGAGGACGACACGGUAGCGGCGCUCGUGUCCCGGACGAGCCACACCUGUUGUGGUGCAGUUUCGGUCCUCGAGUUUCCGCUCGACAUCUCGGAUGCGGAACACCGAAGGGGCGGUGGGUCUUUACGGCCUCCGAUCGUCCAAUCGAAGCCUUGUCGCUCGACGCGUACGACUGUCGUGCCCGUUUCGAGCAGUCGACCGUCAUGGUCGUCUGUCUCGUGCGGCGUCGACGUCGAAGAGGAAUGC
rnacentral:misc_RNA from 1 species